GCCAGCGUGGUGUAAUGGUUUCAGCAUUGGACUACAACUCUGGGAGACCAGGGUUAAAAUCCCUGCUUGAGCA
rnacentral:tRNA from 1 species